GCCCUGGUAGCUCAAUUGGCUAGAGCGUUGGACUUUUAAUCCAAAGGCUGCGGGUUCGACCCCCGCCUAGGGCG
rfam:Ophiostoma piceae TAMH 11346 chromosome Tnknown scf18, whole genome shotgun sequence.